GGAUGACACUAACCUGCUGUAAAAAAAAAAAAAAAAGAUAAAAAUUAACAAAAAUCCAUCUGUACGCCAUAUUUUGUAAGCUGUAUUGCUUAAACAGCAACAAAUGUGGUUCUUAUCAACUGAAAAUGUUACAGUUUUUAAAAUUAUUCUUUGUGUCACAUAUAUAUGACUAAAGCCUGAUUAGAUUUUAGACAAAUACCAAGAGAUUUUCAUACACUUUGUCAAGAUAUCUGAUGAAAAGUGGAAAAUUUAUUGGUUAGUGACCAAUCUAAAAUAAUGAAAUGCCUAAUGAAUUCCCAGGAAGAAAUCUAUGCAAAACCUCUCUUGCCUUGAAAUACACAUGCACCCCUUCCUCAGACUCCAUGACUAGACAUUAUUUACUUAAAAAUGGGAUUUAUUUACUUCACUUCAUUUUUCACUUUUUAAAUAAUCACUUGUCUGUUUAAGAUUAAACCUACCUACUAUUCUGUGGAAUUGUGCUCCACAGAUCAAAUUCAUUUUGCAUAUGCAUUUUUGCAUUAAUGUGAUUGCUUAGUUAAACCAGUGACUUCUGGCCAGAAAGUAUCUUAUACUAUAUAUUCAGCAGAAAGAAACCAUAAUGAAAUUUUCAGUAAGACUUGAUGGAAUUGAGCAUGCUCAGGCAAUAAGCUAGAAAUCUAAUUUCUGAUAAAUAUGUUAAGAAUAUGUAUUGUCAGUGUCUUUGAAACACUUGAAUAAGUUAGUUUCUUGCAGUGGUUAGUCCAAAACUGAAUUUCUGGCUUGAGCAAAUCAAAUGUUGUAAAAAAAAAAAAAAAAACAGUAUACUUCUCUUCCUUACUUAUAGUCUAUGAAUAUGGAAGGUGUCAUGGAGUUAUCUCUAGAUCUCUCUGUGUCCGUGACAGUGGGACAGCAGGCCCACAGGCCCACUGGCCUGAAAAGGGGGGGGGGAUGUGGGGGGAAUGUCAACCAUUUACGGGCCAGUUUGGCUCAGUACUGUGACUAAUGGGGUAGUGGAUCUAUGGACUCAUGCCCUGAGAAAAGGGGAAGGGAAAGAAAGGGAAAGGGUAGUGAGACUGGAGAUGGGCCUAAACAAUAUAACAGCAGCAAUGAUCUGAGGUUAAUUUAAAGUUAAUUUACUAAAUAUGAUAUUGGAAUGCAAGACAACACAGUAUAAUAUGGUAUAAUUGGAAUUGAGGCUAAUAAAACAAAAAAAGAAGAGAGAAGGAGUGUCUGAAAUUGAAGGCCUUACUCUGAAUUGAAGGCAAAAUGGCUGGGGAGCACACACACUGCCAGGCAAUGAGAAAGAGAAAGAGACCAGUCUCAUGACUUGCCAGGAGUUCUAUCUUUCCUUCUGGAUGCAAAGUCCUUUGGGAUGCAACUGAACAAUCCUUGUAACAUGAAAAGGAAUCAAAUAAAAAACAGACAGACAAGAACCCAUAGCAAAAAAAAAAAAAAAAAAAAAAAAAAAAAAAAAAAAAAUUCUAUAAUUAGAGACAUACUAGUAAGAAGUUGCUAAGAAAGUAUAAAAUGUGCAUAUGUACACACUUUCACUAUACAUAUAUUGCUAUGACCUGGAUUUCUGGGGCUUCUGAAGAGUAGUAAAAAUAUGCAUGGCAGAGAAUGCAUUAAGAUUUUGCUGAAUUACAAAUGAAAAACAUCCUCCAGAUACUCUGUAUUAAAGCUACUUAAAAGAAAAUUAGAUAGAUAUAAGAAAAUUUCUAAGAUGAAUGAACAGGUUAACAGAAAAUAUAUACUUUGAUAAAUUGUCCAAAGAGUAGAUGUAUGAACACAGUGAAGAAAAAGAUCCUUCUGUGGCACAAAAAAAAAGAGCUGUUAUAAUAAAGAUCUCAAAAUUUAGCCAUGGGGAGAAUACAUCAGGGUUGUGAAGAGUGAGAACAGGACCCUGCAGUUAUAGAGAGAAGGGCCUCAGAGCAAGAAAAGGGAAAGUAGCUUCACAAAGUAGAAAUAAGGAGCAAAUAGAGAUAGUUUAUGUAAGGAGUGUUAGAAAACAAGGGAUUCCAAGCACUUUCACAGACACUAGGUCUGGAAUAUCAAGGAGGAUGAAGGCCAUAAAGAUAAGGACUGGAGAGCAGCUCAAAAACAUUUGGCAGGGAGGUGAUUAGAUAUCUACAGGGCAAGUUGAAACCGGUUCAGGAGAUGCCCCCCCUUUGGGGGCAGAAGUUUGCAGCAAGGAAGGCUACGAGCCUUCGCGAGGAAGACUAUGAGCCUUCAUCAUCAUGACCUACUACGCACGCGCAAGGGGGGGGAGGGACUGCAUGCUAAUGGGCUCUCGGGAAUGUAAUGAAUAUGUAUCCGAAUUCCUGUCAACUAUUGAUUAUGUAUUAGUUCGAUCUAUAUCUAUAGCACGAUUUCUCCUGAUGGUGUGCAAGUUAGGUGGAGCGAUCCCCCUUGCACCAGGGUGUACGUGCGUCACCAAUAAACACAUGCCUACUCUGUAUCCUUACCGGCUAUAGGGUCUGAUUUCCACACGUCAGUUGAUCAUAACUAAUUACAUUACAGGCAGUUGACUGCCUAUAGAUUAUGUAAAUAUAACUGUAAACCUCACAUACCUGAGUUGCUCAAUUACAUUUCUUCAGUAUCAGGUAUGCAAAAUCCGCGUAUUGAUACAAAAUUUACUAUUACUUAGUUAUCAUUAAAUAAAUUAUGUAUUUUACCACUAUUUAGUCUGAUAGCUU
ensembl:lncRNA